GAAGUGCGAUAAGCAAUGCGAAUUGCAGAAUUCCGCGAAUCAUCAGAUCUUUGAACGCAAAUGGCGCCAAAGGGAUAUCCUUCCGGCAUGUCUGUUUCAGUGUCUGAGAGGUUUCACCACUAUCUUAAUGUGAUUGAUGAAUGGGUUAUUCUCGUAAUAGCCUUACCUCAUCUCUCAUGAAAGAUGUUCGAGUGGAUCUUUAGGUCCAAUGAAGUGGUCACAUCACUCGCAUGUGAUUUCAUUGGGAUCACCUGAUUAUCCGCAUGCUCGAAGUACUCUCACUCUUGUAUAGUAGCAAUACUGUCAAGACACUCCAUACCCUGCAUCUGAGACAGGCAAGAUCACCCGCUGAACUUAA
rnacentral:misc_RNA from 1 species